rnacentral:ncRNA from 1 species
UACGAUAAAGGCAAACCCUGAGCGAUCAGGGGACGCAAAGUACAGGGUCUUUUGUAAGGGCGUAUUGCAUACGCCCAUCUAUCUGAUAAAAAGACAGCCUUACUGCCGAAG